rnacentral:sRNA from 1 species
ACAAAUAUGACUUUACGUCCAGUCGGCAUACAGUGGUGCAGUAAGUGGGGCAGGUGGGAGGAGGGUAGGGGAAGGCAGAAGACCUGCCGGACCAGCCCCAGCUGAGCCUGCUCCCCCCGACCAGCCUCGCCUGCAUCUGUCACUCAUUCCACUACAUCAAGCGCCUGCUGGAGACGCUCUUCGUGCACCGCUUCUCCCAUGGCACUAUGCCUUUGCGCAACAUCUUCAAGAACUGCACCUACUACUGGGGCUUCGCCGCGUGGAUGGCCUAUUACAUCAAUCACCCUCUCUACACUCCCCCUACCUACGGAGCUCAGCAGGUGAAACUGGCGCUCGCCAUCUUUGUGGUAAGGAGGCUGGGUGUGGGGACGGGGUCAGGGGAGUCUGGGCGGCCCUAGGCUGAUCCUGCUUCUCUGACAGAUCUGUCAGCUCGGCAACUUCUCCAUCCACAUGGCCCUGCGGGACCUGCGGCCCGCUGGUGAGUGCCUGCUGGGGGCAAGGGGACAGCUGGGCUGGGUGAGGGGGUCUGACUUCCUCCUUCUGUCCUGCCUGCCAGGGUCCAAGACGCGGAAGAUCCCAUACCCCACCAAGAACCCCUUCACGUGGCUCUUCCUGCUGGUGUCCUGCCCCAACUACACCUACGAGGUGGGGUCCUGGAUCGGUUUCGCCAUCAUGACGCAGUGUCUCCCAGGUGAGCCUGCCGCCCUCCCUCGGCGGGGCCCUACCCCUCCGGGCCGGCAGCCCCUCCCUGACGCCCGUUCUUUCCUGCAGUGGCCCUGUUCUCCCUGGUGGGCUUCACCCAGAUGACUAUCUGGGCCAAGGGCAAGCACCGCAGCUACCUGAAGGAGUUCCGGGACUACCCGCCCCUGCGCAUGCCCAUCAUCCCCUUCCUGCUCUGAGCGCUCACCCCUGCUGAGGCUCAGCCCCUCACCCCGGUGGCAUUCUGGGGGAGGAGUGGGGCCCACAGCUCUCCAGCACCCGGAAUAAAGCCCGCCUGCC